rnacentral:misc_RNA from 1 species
UCCCCGUUCACCGGGGCAGUCCCCUACGAGUCCCCGGCAUUACCCGCUGGCAACAUAGGACAAGGGUUGCGCUCGUUGCGGGACUUAACCCAACAUCUCACGACACGAGCUGACGGCAACCAUGCACCACCUGUGUAGGGCCCCGAAGGACACCGUAUCUCUACGGCUUUUCCCUACAUGUCAAGCCCAGGUAAGGUUCUUCGCGUCGCAUCGAAUUAAGCAACAUGCUCCGCCGCUUGUGCGGGCCCCCGUCAAUUCCUUUGAGUUUUAGCCUUGCGGCCGUACUCCCCAGGCGGGGCACUUAAUGCGUUAGCUACGGCACGGAGGACGUUGAUAAUCCCCCACACCUAGUGCCCAACGUUUACGGCGUGGACUAC